AUGGGGGAGGAGAUCGCACGAGGCAAUCUCCAGCCCGGGACAGCGUGGGUCCCUGAAAAUGUUCAAGCAGAGGUCCCAUCGAUGGAAACGUCCCUCCUGCUGGUCCAUCAGCGGCCUCAGAAUAGAGACAAAGCUUGCAGGGCUGCGGCUCCGGGACCCGCGGACCCGCAGGAGGGCCGAGGGCCGCCCCGCCACCGCCCGGCGCCCACCCCGUCGUCCAGUGCCGCGGUCUGUUCAGUAGCUGCUGCAAGACGAACAUCAUCUCAAUUAACAGCGCACCUUGCGGGCGGCUCGGGCCGACUCUUCCAGCCCCACCGGCCACGCGGCCAUCAGGCCCUAAUCAACUAAUGAUGGCGGAAAAUGAGGGAGGCCAAUCCCAAUAAAUUCGAAGGAAAGUCAUUUUUCUCUUUUAAU
rnacentral:lncRNA from 1 species